CCUACGGGAGGCUGCAGUAGGGAAUCUUCCACAAUGGGCGAACCCCUGAUGGACCACCGCCGCGUGGGUGUAAAAGGUCUUCGGAUCGUAACACCCUUUUGUAAGAUAAGAAAGUGCGUUAGCGUAACUGUUCACGUUUCGACGGUAUCUGACCACAACGCCACGGAUACCUAGGUGCCAGCAGCCGCGGUAAUACGCAGGUCGUAAGCGUUACCCGGGUUUAAUGGCCGUAAAGAGAACGAAGGCUGGCUGGUAAGUCUGAUGUGAAAGCCUAAGGCUUAACCGGAGAAGUGCAUUGGAAACUGGGAGACUAGAGUGCAGAAGAGGUGAGUGGAACUCCAUGUGUAGCGGUAAAAUGCGUAGAUAUAAAGAAGAACACUCGGGGCGAAAGCGGCUUUCUGGACCGUAACUGACGCUGAGGCUCGAAAGCGUGGGGAGCAAACAGGAUUAGAUACCCGUGUAGUC
rnacentral:rRNA from 1 species